AUGGAUGCCUUCUUAAUCACAGGCUCUGUGGGUAAAGGGAAAGCCUUGCCUGGGCAGCCCCUCCCACCUCCACCCACCCCCUCCAUUGAUUCACAAACCUGGAAUACUCUGGAGGAGGCUGGGAAAGUCCAUCCCCAGGGAAUAUCACUUUUUUCCUCUUCCAUGCCUCUCACAGGACACCCACAAGACCAGGAGGCAGAACGUGAACAGGGAGGUCUUUCUUAUUACUACUUUUUGAGUGUCAGCAAGUGUGUUUUUAAAUUUCAUUACACCUGUUUUCAUGCAUUCAGUGAAAUCACUUCUUAUCCUUGGAAGAAAACGACAAGAAAUGACAGCCACGGAAUCUUCCUCUGGAUAUGGGAACAGAAAUAGCUCUCAGAAUAAAUAGUGGCCACACACAGACACAGACUUCGUUUAAAUCAGUAUUAACAUCAAACACAUCACCAUCAAGAAAGCUGUAAUUUUGAUUGUUUGUCUAACAGUUGGGCCACGUUUUCCUGUUUUUCAUUUCUCUUCUGAUACGUCAGUCUAUGCCAGGGGAGAAACUGGCUGAAGUUAAGGGCUAAUGUCAAGUACUAACUGAACAACAAAUGGAUGGCCUCAAUAAUGUUAUAACCUGGUUGAAAUUAUUACUCAGUUUUUUUUUUGGCAGACCUGAGAUCUAUGUAUCUCCAUUUAACACGUGAAUGUAGACCAUUUCCUUAAAAGCAAAUUCCUAUAAAAAUAUAUAUCAGAAAUGAAUAGGUAUAAUUAAUAUAACUUUUUAAAUGCUUAAUAAAAUUCACCAGUAUACUAUCA
rnacentral:lncRNA from 13 species